AACGGCCGUACCAUGCUGAAUAUACCGGUUCUCGUUAGAUCACCGAAGUUAAGCAUCAUUGGGCGCGGUCAGUACUUGGGUGGGUGACCACCUGGAACACUGCGUGCCGUU
rnacentral:rRNA from 1 species